ACCAGACAGCGGUGUGUACUGGUGUGAGUCUGUCAGUGGGGAGCAGAGCAAUGUGGUCAACAUUACCAUUACUGAUCAGCCUCUGAUUUUGGAGAGUCCUGCCCUUCCUGUGUCCGAGGGAGCCACUGUAACACUGCAUUGUACACCUGAGACAAAGUCCUUCAACCAGUUUUUUGAUUUCUAUAAAGAUGGCCACUGCAUCAAAAGGAACUCCACAGGAGAAAUCACCAUUAAAAGGGUUUCUAAAUCUGAUGAAGGACUCUAUAAAUGCAGCAUUUCAGGAGGUGAAGAAUCACUAGGCAGCUGGCUGGCAGUUGAUGCUUCAUCUCAGGAGUUUCCUUCAUCUACAUCUGCAGCUGAACCGGCCGCUCCCUGCUCUU